UAAUACUGCAGGGCCAUUGUUUUGUCUCAAGAUGUACACCAGUGAUGUUUUUUUUCUAGUGUACAUUUAUUAAAGCUACUUAAAUGUCCUAACUGAACUAAGGCCUAACCCUGGCUUAAUCUAAGCCCUGUCUGUGAAACCAGGCCCUAAUCUUAUUUUAUCUCUCUCUUUUUUGUCUUAUUGUGAGAAAAGCACUAUAUAAAUGUAAAAAACAAGAUGUUUUUGCAUGUGAGUUAGUCUUUUGAGAUACCUAAUCUUAUUUUAUAUCUCUCUCUCUUUUUUUAUCUUGUGCAUGAUGCUAUUCUACAGGUCAUGUCUUUUGGACACCUUAGCUCAGAUUUGGCAAUGACGUAGGUCCUUCCACCCAUUAAAGAGCCAUUUAUGUCACCGUUAAGCUAGCUGGUGUGGCAUUCUGCCCGUUUCGAGAUCCCCCCCUGGCUCAUCCAGCAAUAACGACAAUUCUGAAAGGCAGUGGAAGCUGAUCUCUAUAUCAUCACCCCUGAAAUAUUUGUCUAUCUGGAGGCGUAGCAUCCCCACCGGGCCAUCAGCAUUGCAUCAUCCAUCAGAGAUGCCUCUGGCACUGCAGUAAAGCUGGGCUCUAGGACUUGAAACCCAGCGCUGGUUUUUCCAUCAGACUACAAGAUUUGUGGUGUGAUGAUGGACAGAAUUCGUUCUCACCUUUCUUUGUGGGCUCAGGCAUGUUGAGCCGUUCUCCGGUGGACCGGGCACCAGUUGGAGGGGUUCAGGGGUGAGUCUGGGCUGCCCAGUGUGUGUGGCAGGGGGUGUCCUUUAGCCACUGAUGGAGAAACAGAGGUGAGGAAAGCAGCACCAGAGACUGUGGAAGCCAAUGAGGAUGAGGGCAACGCAGGAACGUGAAGGAGAAAGUAACAGAUCUGGGGGUGAUGAAUAAAUGGGGUUUAUAUAGUGCUCAUCCUAGCCACUCCUCUCUCUUUGAUAAUGGAGCCCAAAAAGAUCCCUAACACCUCCCUCCCCUUCUCUCCUAAAGUCCUGGGGAUUAGAUGUGGCUCGCUGUGCCCUGUCUCCUCACCAGCUGGAGUCAGACAGCGAGAGGGGCUUUUGGAUAACGUUGCAUUGCAGAAAAAAAGAAUGUAUUUCUGUUGACAAGGUGGCAUUGCUUUGAAUAUGUCACAAAGAGACAUCAUUUUAUUUUUAUACAGAAUGCCUGACACUACAUCACAAUGAAAAUGUAUAAAAAAUAACAAAUCUUACAUGAAAAAAAAAAAAAAAAAAAAAAAAAAAAAUAUAUAUAUAUAUAUAUGCAUCGUGAUGCUCUUGUGAACACUCGCAUGUGCGUUAACACACGUCGUGUAUGCGUCUUGAAGCUCUCGAGAAUGAGCAUUGCAGAUCAAUAUUUAUGUAAGUAAAGUGGUAAAUUAUGUUUUUUUUUUUUUUGCACAAACAAAGCACUCACGUCGCUUCAUAAAAUUGAGUUUAAGCCACUGGAGUCACAUGGAGUACUUUAAUGAUGUCUUUUUCCUUCCUUUCUGGACCUUGGAAUGGUAGUUGCGUUGGAUCUCAAUGGAGAGACAGAAACCUCUCAGACUUCAUCAAAAAUAUCUUAAUUUGUGUUCCGAAGAUGAACGAAGGUCUUACAGAUGUGGAAUGACAUGAGGGGUUUAACUGUUCUGGAACAUCUGUGUAAAGUGUGGAAUUGUUUCCUGUCUGCUGUGGAUGAUAAAAUGUGGGAGACUGUGCUUGAAGGGUAUGAAAACCUUUCCUCCACUGUGGCU